UACGUAGGUGACAAGCGUUGUCCGGAUUUACUGGGCGUAAAGAGCGCGCAGGCGGUCGUUCAAGUCGAGUGUGAAAGCCCCCGGCUCAACUGGGGAGGGUCAUUCGAUACUGAUCGACUCGAAGGCAGGAGAGGGUAGUGGAAUUCCCGGUGUAGUGGUGAAAUGCGUAGAUAUCGGGAGGAACACCAGUGGCGAAGGCGACUACCUGGCCUGUUCUUGACGCUGAGGCGCGAAAGCUAGGGGAGCAACGGG
rnacentral:rRNA from 1 species